GGGGGUGUCCAUCUCUUCCCAAUCCACAUGCCGUGAUGUCCUGUUGGUGACUCGAAGUUGGCCACACUGGACCCUGGGUACCUGGCUGAAGACUUUGGACUUUAACCUGGAGAUGAUGGAGAGUAUGCAGGAUAAAGUCCAUACCAAAUCCAACGCCUAGCAAAUGGAGAACAAGCCAAAACUAACAAGAUAAAAUGUAGCAGGAAAAAGUGCAAAGAGCUGAAGUGUGGAAUAAGUGGGAGAGGUCUGCCAUGCCCUAUCUGACCUUGCUGCCAUGAUCUUUAAGGCUGUGUGUCCUGGUUGGUGCAGCUACAAGAUGGCAGAAAUGCCUAAGUGAUGGUAUGGAACAGAGGAUCCCUCUUCUCACCAUUGUCUUGCAUGUUUCCUUGUGUGAACCACAAAUAAACUUUUGUUAUGUUAAGCUGC
rnacentral:lncRNA from 1 species